CUCUUAUCCAGAGAGGUGGAGGGACAGGCCCUACGAAACCUCGGCAGCAGGAUCAGUUAUAAAUGAUUACUGUGCCAAUUCCUACAGCGGAGCUGUAAAGAUGAGAC
rnacentral:ncRNA from 2 species